rnacentral:rRNA from 1 species
AUUGAACGCUGGCGGCAUGCUUUACACAUGCAAGUCGAACGGCAGCGCGGGCUUCGGCCUGGCGGCGAGUGGCGAACGGGUGAGUAAUGCAUCGGAACGUGCCCCGUAGUGGGGGAUAGCCCGGCGAAAGCCGGAUUAAUACCGCAUACGACCUGAGGGUGAAAGCGGGGGGCCGAAAGGCCUCGCGCUAUUGGAGCGGCCGACGCCGGAUUAGCCAGUUGGUGGGGUAAAGGCUUACCAAGGCGACGAUCCGUAGCUGGUCUGAGAGGAGGACCAGCCACACUGGGACUGAGACACGGCCCAGACUCCUACGGGAGGCAGCAGUGGGGAAUUUUGGACAAUGGGGGCAACCCUGAUCCAGCCAUGCCGCGUGCGGGAAGAAGGCCUUCGGGUUGUAAACCGCUUUUGUUCGGGAAGAAAUCCUCUGGGCUAAUACCCCGGGGGGAUGACGGUACCGGAAGAAUAAGCACCGGCUAACUACGUG